rnacentral:rRNA from 1 species
UACGAAGGGGGCUAGCGUUGCUCGGAAUGACUGGGCGUAAAGGGCGCGUAGGCGGAUGGCACAGUCAGAUGUGAAAUUCCUGGGCUUAACCUGGGGGCUGCAUUUGAUACGUGUGAUCUAGAGUGAGGAAGAGGGUUGUGGAAUUCCCAGUGUAGAGGUGAAAUUCGUAGAUAUUGGGAAGGACACCGGUGGCGAAGGCGGCGACCUGGUCCUUAACUGACGCUGAGGCGCGAAAGCGUGGGGAGCAAACAGG